rnacentral:miRNA from 1 species
AAUACUGUUUGUAAGUUAGGGGU